rfam:Triticum aestivum genome assembly, contig: Triticum_aestivum_CS42_TGACv1_scaffold_221534_3B
GUAGUACUCCCUCCGUACCAAAAUUAUUGUCUUACAUUUGUUUAGAUACGGAUGUAUCUAACACUAAAAUGUAACUAGAUACAUCCGUAUUUAGACAAAUUUAACACACGAAUUUUGGGACAGAGGGAGUACAAA